rnacentral:rRNA from 1 species
AUGGAAUUCAUGUGUACCCUCAAGAACGCUUUGCUUACUAUAAGAGACCGUUUUGGCAUGUCCUUUGCCUCAAAAGGAUUGGGCUACCUUGCUGCACUUUUGUUACUACUAUCAUUACUUGCUCGUUACAAAUUAUCUUGCUAUGAAACUACUCUGUUACUUACAAUUUCAGCACUUGCAGACAUUACCUUGCUGAAAACCACUUGUCAUUUCCUUCUGCUCCUCGUUGGGUUCGACACUCUUAAUUAUCGAAAAGAGCUACAAUUGAUCCCCUAUACUUGUGGGUCAUCACUUAUUUUUGCCUAA